UGCAGGGCCCAUGCAACGCUGCCCAUGGGCAAACAGCAGGAAACAAAGUCCAGCCCCGGGGUCCCACCCGAGGGCACCUGGCAGCCCAAGGAGACAGUCGAUGGGAGAAGGGAAGUGCCUCUUCCUGCUACUGGGGUCCUUGGUCCUCAGGUGAGAUGUCCCCCGACUUGCACCUGGACGUGGACUCCAGAUCACUGCUCCUGAAUGGCCACCCCGUGUCCCCGCUGUGCCAGUCCUGGCUUGCACACACUGGGGGUUCUGGGAAGAAUGUGGGCCGCCUCAAACUCAGGGCACUGACGCUCCGCAGGGGCCAGUCUGCCUUCUGCAAAGCAUCCCUCCUAGGACGGGGGCACCGGCAGAACCGGAGCGCACUCGGAAGGAGGCCAAGAGGCCCUCCAGCCCAACCCCACACUGUAGCGGUGGGACCCAGCAUUCCUCGGCCCUCUGCCAGGAGGGGGACAAACUGGAAGUGGUCCAAGCCCUCGUUGCUCUCAUCCCCCAGGGCCUCGCCCUUUCGGAAAACACAGGAGCUGGUGCGUACUCAGCCCUUAAACUCCACUUCCACCCACUGCAGAAAGCCUUGAGGUUUUUUUCACCUGGGGGAGGGAGUAGGCACAGAGGAGAGGAGACAUGGAGCCUAUUCCAGAGGCCCUCUGGCAUCUCCAAGUUCCCCCCAGGGAAGGGUCAAGGACCUACAACCUUCGGGUGCAAACCGCCAUUGCAGGGUCGUGGCCACACUGGCAGCGAUGCCUACAACCAUCUCAAGUAUUUGGAGCUGGGGAGGGAGGGAGGCCAAGCACCAAACCCCAGCCUGGGCCACCUGGAAGCCCCGUCCCUCCUCCUGUCCCCCCAGCGCCACCCCAGCUAGAGCCGAGCUCAGGGGUCUGAAGGGCCGUGCUGUUCCCAGCAAGGGGUGAAGUCGAAAUUCGAAGCUGCUGACCCAGAAAGGUAUUUUCAAAGUUCUGAGCAGCCCUCUCUGAGACCAGUUACUCCUUAUCACUCCUUUGGGCUCAAGAAUGUGGAAAGCAGGAGAUGGGACAUGGCCCAAAGGCAGGAGGAAGGACCUGACGUCCUCUGAAACUCCAGCUAAGUCCCACAACUCUGUCCUCUCACCAAUAAGAACUAACUCGUGGGUCCCUGGCAGGAAACUUACUGUCCACACAGAUGAAGGAGAGCAACUCCAAGUUUGCAGCAUGGGCAGAAAAGGAGAUGCCGUUUACUGUUCAGUGACUGAGAGGACAAAGGACCCUGGGUCCGCAGAGGAGAACUACAGACCUUCAAGGCAGUGGCCUCGGUUUGCCCGUCUGUGAAAUGGGGCAUCAGCGUACCCAAGAGGAGAGACUUAGGAAGGACCCCGAGCGCAUCCUGAGAGCGGGUCAGGCCUCUUCCACCUGUGUGAGGUCGAACCUUCGCCAGCCUACAAGGAUGGCGUCUUGGGACCCACAAGAUGAAGGAGUUGCGGAGCCUGGGGUUGCAGGAUAGUCGCCUUUGGCGAACUCCCAGUGUUCCAUCCGGUACAGGAGUAAGUUCGCCCUAAUUAAGGGCGCUGCGGCCCACGCCUCCAGGCUGCAGGCUGAACCCAAGACAAUCUUCCACUCAGCCGCCCUCUACAUAGAUAGACAGACACACAGACAGACAGACACACACAC